rnacentral:rRNA from 1 species
AUUGAACGCUGGCGGCAGGCCUAACACAUGCAAGUCGAGCGGUAGAGAGAAGCUUGCUUCUCUCGAGAGCGGCGGACGGGUGAGUAAAGCCUAGGAAUCUGCCUGGUAGUGGGGGAUAACGUUCGGAAACGGACGCUAAUACCGCAUACGUCCUACGGGAGAAAGCAGGGGACCUUCGGGCCUUGCGCUAUCAGAUGAGCCUAGGUCGGAUUAGCUAGUUGGUGAGGUAAUGGCUCACCAAGGCGCCGAUUCGUAACUGGUCUGAGAGGAUGAUCAGUCACACUGGAACUGAGACAGGGUCCAGACGCCUACGGGAGGCAGCAGUGGGGAAUAUUGGACAAUGGGCGAAAGCCUGAUCCAGCCAUGCCGCGUGUGUGAAGAAGGUCUUCGGAUUGUAAAGCACUUUAAGUUGGGAGGAAGGGCAUUAACCUAAUACGUUAGUGUUUUGACGUUACCGACAGAAUAAGCACCGGCUAACUCUGUGCCAGCAGCCGCCGUAA